GACGUAGGGCGCGAGCGUUGUCCGGAUUUAUUGGGCGUAAAGAGCUCGUAGGCGGCUCGUUGCGUCGGCUGUGAAAACCCGCAGCUCAACUGUGGGCUUGCAGCUGAUACGGGCGGGCUGGGAUUCGGUAGGGGAGACUGGAAUUCCUGGUGUAGCGGUGAAAUGCGCAGAUAUCAGGAGGAACACCGGUGGCGAAGGCGGGUCUCUGGGCCGAUAUCGACGCUGAGGAGCGAAAGCCAGGGGAGCAAACGGGG
rnacentral:rRNA from 1 species